rnacentral:rRNA from 1 species
UACGUAGGUGGCAAGCGUUGUCCGGAUUUACUGGGCGUAAAGGAUGCGUAGGCGGACAUUUAAGUCAGAUGUGAAAUACCCGAGCUAAACUUGGGUGCUGCAUUUGAAACUGGGUGUCUAGAGUGCAGGAGAGGUAAGUGGAAUUCCUAGUGUAGCGGUGAAAUGCGUAGAGAUUAGGAAGAACACCAGUGGCGAAGGCGACUUACUGGACUGUAACUGACGCUGAGGCAUGAAAGCGUGGGGAGCAAACAGG